UACGGGGGGGGGGCAAGCGUUGUUCGGAAUUACUGGGCGUAAAGGGCUCGUAGGUGGCCAACUAAGUCAGACGUGAAAUCCCCCGGCUUAACCGGGGAAUGGCGUCUGAUACUGGAUGGCUUGAGUUCGGGAGAGGGAUGCGGAAUUCCAGGUGUAGCGGUGAAAUGCGUAGAUAUCUGGAGGAACACCGGUGGCGAAGGCGGCAUCCUGGACCGAAACUGACGGCUGAGGCGCGAAAGCUAGGGGAGCAAACGGG
rnacentral:rRNA from 1 species